GUUCUGCAGUGCAUGACACUGUAAUAGAAACAGUUCAUUGACGUUAAUUACAAUUAUCCUUACCCAAUGGAGAAAUUCCUACUAGUGCUUGUGGUUUUUCAUGGAUCUCAGAAGGAACCACAUCCUGUUCUCCCUCGCCACACCUACUUUUGUCAUCUUCAAGACUCUAUUCCCUAUAGAGUGUUACUUUUGGCCACAAGGAGCAGGCUGAGUUUGCUAGGCUUUUCGCCGGGCAGCAGUCGUUCGUUGGCCUGCUGACGGAUGACAACAUGCUGUCUCCCUGUGAGAUCCAGAGGUAGACUAACCAGACAAACUUCACCUCUGGAAACGUGAUCAACUGGGGGGGGGGCCCUGGACUUCCCGACUACAGACGAGUACUGCUGGAGAACAAGCAGUCAGGCUGUAACCUUUUAAACAUGUAAUCAACCAAAUAAAUCUAAGUCCAAUCAA